UACGAAGGGGGCUAGCGUUGUCCGGAUUUAUUGGGCGUAAAGAGCUCGUAGGCGGCUUGUCGCGUCGACUGUGAAAACCCGCGGCUCAACUGUGGGCUUGCAGUCGAUACGGGCAGGCUAGAGUUCGGUAGGGGAGAUCGGAAUUCCUGGUGUAGCGGUGAAAUGCGCAGAUAUCAGGAGGAACACCGGUGGCGAAGGCGGAUCUCUGGGCCGAUACUGACGCUGAGGAGCGAAAGCGUGGGGAGCGAACAGG
rnacentral:rRNA from 1 species